CCGGGAAUUUUGGGCAAUGGGCGAAAGCCUGACCCAGCAACGCCGCGUGAAGGAUGAAGUAUUUCGGUAUGUAAACUUCGAAAGAAUAGGAAGAAUAAAUGACGGUACUAUUUAUAAGGUCCGGCUAACUACGUGCCAGCAGCCGCGGUAAUACGUAGGGACCAAGCGUUGUUCGGAUUUACUGGGCGUAAAGGGCGCGUAGGCGGCAAUUCAAGUCAUCUGUGAAAUCUCCGGGCUUAACUCGGAACGGUCAGAUGAUACUGCUUUGCUAGAGUGCAGAAGGGGCAAUCGGAAUUCUUGGUGUAGCGGUGAAAUGCGUAGAUAUCAAGAGGAACACCUGAGGUGAAGACGGGUUGCUGGGCUGACACUGACGCUGAGGCGCGAAAGCAUGGGGAGCAAACAGGAUUAGAUACCCCCGUAGUCCCUGAGCGGGCUGGCAAGGCGCAU
rnacentral:rRNA from 1 species